rnacentral:rRNA from 1 species
UGAGGAAUAUUGGUCAAUGGACGGAAGUCUGAACCAGCCAAGUAGCGUGCAGGAUGACGGCCCUAUGGGUUGUAAACUGCUUUUGUAUGGGGAUAAAGUUAGGGACGUGUCCCUAUUUGCAGGUACCAUACGAAUAAGGACCGGCUAAUUCCGUGCCAGCAGCCGCGGUAAUACGGAAGGUCCAGGCGUUAUCCGGAUUUAUUGGGUUUAAAGGGAGCGUAGGCUGGAGAUUAAGUGUGUUGUGAAAUGUAGACGCUCAACGUCUGAAUUGCAGCGCAUACUGGUCUCCUUGAGUACGCACAACGUUGGCGGAAUUCGUCGUGUAGCGGUGAAAUGCUUAGAUAUGACGAAGAACUCCGAUUGCGAAGGCAGCUGACGGGAGCGCAACUGACGCUUAAAGCUCGAAGGUGCGGGUAUCAAACAGGAUUAGAUACCCUGGUAGUCCGCACGGUAAACGAUGGAUGCCCGCUGUUGGUACCUGGUAUCAGCGGCUAAGCGAAAGCAUUAAGCAUCCCACCUGGGGAGUACGCCCGGNNCGGUG